GACGAACGCUGGCGGCGUGCUUAACACAUGCAAGUCGAACAGUGGCGAACGGGUGAGUAACACGUGAGUAACCUGCCCUCCACUUUGGGAUAACUCCGAGAAAUCGGGGCUAAUACUGGAUAGUGGGGGAUGGGGUCGCGGCCUAUCAGUUUGUUGGUGCGGUAGUGGUCACCAAGGCGUGACGGGUAGCCGGCCUGGGAGGGCGACCGGCCACACGGGGCCUGAGACAGGGCCCAGAAGGGUACGGGAGGCAGCAGUGGGGAAUAUUGCACAAGGGGGGAAAGCCUGAUGCAGCGGCGCCGCGUGGGGGAUGACGGCCUUCGGGUUGUAAACCUCUUUCAGCAAGGAAGCGGUACUUGCAGAAGAAGCGCCGGCUAACUACGUGCCAGCCGCCGCGGUAAUUC
rnacentral:rRNA from 1 species